GACGAACCGUGCGAACGUUAUUCGGAAUCACUGGGCUUAAAGCGCGUGUAGGCGGGUCGGUGCGUCGGCCGCUGAAAUCCCCCGGCUCAACCGGGGAAGGGGCGCCGAUACGACCGGCCUGGAGCGACGUAGGGGGGACUGGAACUUCCGGUGGAGCGGUGAAAUGCGUUGAGAUCGGAAGGAACGCCCGUGGCGAAAGCGAGUCCCUGGACGUCGGCUGACGCUGAGACGCGAAAGCCAGGGGAGCGAACGGG
rnacentral:rRNA from 1 species